rnacentral:rRNA from 1 species
AUUGAACGCUGGCGGCAUGCCUUACCCAUGCAAGUCGAACGGUAACAGGUCUUCGGAUGCUGACGAGUGGCGAACGGGUGAGUAAUACAUCGGAACGUGCCCAGACGUGGGGGAUAACGAGGCGAAAGCUUUGCUAAUACCGCAUACGAUCUAAGGAUGAAAGCAGGGGACCGCAAGGCCUUGCGCGUUUGGAGCGGCCGAUGGCAGAUUAGGUAGUUGGUGGGAUAAAAGCUUACCAAGCCGACGAUCUGUAGCUGGUCUGAGAGGACGACCAGCCACACUGGGACUGAGACACGGCCCAGACUCCUACGGGAGGCAGCAGUGGGGAAUUUUGGACAAUGGGCGAAAGCCUGAUCCAGCAAUGCCGCGUGCAGGAUGAAGGCCUUCGGGUUGUAAACUGCUUUUGUACGGAACGAAAAGGCUCUGGUUAAUACCUGGGGCACAUGACGGUACCGUAAGAAUAAGCACCGGCUAACUACGUGCCAGCAGCCGCGGUAAUACGUAGGGUGCGAGCGUUAAUCGGAAUUACUGGGCGUAAAGCGUGCGCAGGCGGUUUUGUAAGACAGAGGUGAAAUCCCCGGGCUCAACCUGGGAACUGCCUUUGUGACUGCAAAGCUGGAGUGCGGCAGAGGGGGAUGGAAUUCCGCGUGUAGCAGUGAAAUGCGUAGAUAUGCGGAGGAACACCGAUGGCGAAGGCAAUCCCCUGGGCCUGCACUGACGCUCAUGCACGAAAGCGUGGGGAGCAAACAGG